AUGCACGCUGGCGGCGUGCCUAAUCCCUGCAAGUCGCGCGCACAGACGAGGAGCUUGCUCCUCUGACGUUAGCGGCGGACGGGUGAGUAACACGUGGAUAACCUACCUAUAAGACUGGGAUAACUUCGGGAAACCGGAGCUAAUACCGGAUAAUAUAUUGAACCGCAUGGUUCAAUAGUGAAAGACGGUUUUGCUGUCACUUAUAGAUGGAUCCGCGCCGCAUUAGCUAGUUGGUAAGGUAACGGCUUACCAAGGCAACGAUGCGUAGCCGACCUGAGAGGGUGAUCGGCCACACUGGAACUGAGACACGGUCCAGACUCCUACGGGAGGCAGCAGUAGGGAAUCUUCCGCAAUGGGCGAAAGCUUGACGGAGCAACGCCGCGUGAGUGAUGAAGGUCUUCGGAUCGUAAAACUCUGUUAUUAGGGAAGAACAAAUGUGUAAGUAACUAUGCACGUCUUGACGGUACCUAAUCAGAAAGCCACGGCUAACUACGUG
rnacentral:rRNA from 1 species